AGAGUUUGAUCCUGGCUCAGGAUGAACGCUGGCGGCGUGCCUAACACAUGCAAGUCGAGCGUGAACCAUCUAAAUGAAACUUCGGUCGAAUGAAGAUGGGGAAAGCGGCGGACGGGUGAGUAACGCGUAGGCAACCUGCCCCAUACAGAGGGAUAGCCUCGGGAAACCGGGAUUAAAACCUCAUAACGCCAUACCUUCACAUGUAGGAAUGGUCAAAGAUUUAUCGGUAUGGGAUGGGCCUGCGUCUGAUUAGCUGGUUGGUGAGGUAACGGCUCACCAAGGCAACGAUCAGUAGCCGACCUGAGAGGGUGAUCGGCCACAUUGGAACUGAGACACGGUCCAAACUCCUACGGGAGGCAGCAAUGGGGAAUAUUGCACAAUGGGCGGAAGCCUGAUGCAGCAACGCCGCGUGAACGAGGAAGGCCUUUGGGUCGUAAAGUUCUGUCGGGAAGGAAGAUAAUGACGGUACUUCCCGAGGAAGCCCCGGCUAACUACGUGCCAGCAGCCGCGGUAAUACGUAGGGGGCGAGCGUUAUCCGGAAUUACUGGGCGUAAAGGGUGCGUAGGUGGUUUCUUAAGUCAGGAGUGAAAGGCUACGGCUCAACCGUAGUAAGCUCUUGAAACUGGGAAACUUGAGUGCAGGAGAGGAAAGUGGAAUUCCUAGUGUAGCGGUGAAAUGCGUAGAUAUUAGGAGGAACACCAGUAGCGAAGGCGGCUUUCUGGACUGUAACUGACACUGAGGCACGAAAGCGUGGGGAGCAAACAGGAUUAGAUACCCUGGUAGUCCACGCCGUAAACGAUGAGUACUAGGUGUCGGGGGUUACCCCCCUCGGUGCCGCAGCUAACGCAUUAAGUACUCCGCCUGGGGAGUACGCUCGCAAGAGUGAAACUCAAAGGAAUUGACGGGGACCCGCACAAGUAGCGGAGCAUGUGGUUUAAUUCGAAGCAACGCGAAGAACCUUACCUAAGCUUGACAUCCUUUUGACCGAUGCCUAAUCGCAUCUUUCCCUUCUGGGACAGAAGUGACAGGUGGUGCAUGGUUGUCGUCAGCUCGUGUCGUGAGAUGUUGGGUUAAGUCCCGCAACGAGCGCAACCCCCGCCUUUAGUUGCCAGCACUAAGUUGGGCACUCUAGAGGGACUGCCAGGGAUAACCUGGAGGAAGGUGGGGAGGACGUCAAAUCAUCAUGCCCCCUAUGACCUGGGCUACACGCGUGCUACAAUGGCUAAUACAAAGAGUUGCAAAACCGUGAGGUAGAGCUAAUCUCAUAAAGUUAGUCUCAGUUCGGAUUGUAGUCUGCAACUCGACUACAUGAAGUUGGAAUCGCUAGUAAUCGUAAAUCAGAAU
rnacentral:rRNA from 1 species